rnacentral:rRNA from 1 species
UACAGAGGGUGCGAGCGUUAAUCGAAAUGACUGGGCGUAAAGGGUGCGUAGGUGGUUUAUUAAGUUAGGUGUGAAAGUCCUAGGCUCAACCUGGGGAUUGCGCCUAAUACUGGUGAGCUAGAGUACUGGAGAGGAAAGUGGAAUUUCCGGUGUAGCGGUGAAAUGCGUAGAUAUCGGAAGGAACAUCAGUGGCGAAGGCGACUUUCUGGCCAGAUACUGACACUGAGGCACGAAAGCAUGGGGAGCAAACAGG